ensembl:misc_RNA Metazoa_SRP Metazoan signal recognition particle RNA
GCCGGGCGUGGUGGUGCCUGUGGUCCCAGGUACUCUGGAGGCUGAGGUGGGAGGAUUGCUUGAGCCCAGGAGUUCUGGGCUGUAGUGAGCUAUGCCGAUCGGGUGUCCGCACUAAGUUUGGUAUCAAUAUGGUAACUUCCUGGGAGCGGGGGACCACCAGGUUGCUUAAGGAGGGGUGAACCAGCCCAUGUCAGAAACGGAGCAGGUCAAAACUCCCGUGCUGAUCAGUAGUGGGAUCAUGCCUGUGAACAGUCACUGCACUCCAGCCUGGGCAACAUAGCAAGAUCCCAUCUCUU